rnacentral:lncRNA from 1 species
AUGUCAACCUCUCUUCAGGUCAAAGAAAAGAGGGAUUCUGGGAAGAAUCUGACAUGUAGAAUUUUUAUCAUGUUUUCUAUUCACAUCUUUAGCAUGAGAGGUAAAGAGGAAUUCCCCUUCAGAAUUAAUCCAGCAUUUAGUCAAAAUUGAGGAUUUUGAAGUCAUGCAGAUGUUCCUGUUUGCAAAUUGUUCUGGUUGCAUCAAGCCAAAGGACAUGCAAGAACCUCCUGAAAGGAGCUGAGUCUGAUGAGGAGUAAGGGCAGUAGUACCAACAGAGGUUUUCCAGAAUUACUUCUUCACAAGGAUUGUUCUCCUGGGUAAUGUCUACAGAGCCAGGGAACAUGAAGAAGAAGGAGUAAUAUUCCCUCUUAUUAUUCAGCAAAAUAAAGGGACCUCUUGAUCAAAC